GAUGAACGCUGGCGGCGUGCCUAAUACAUGCAAGUCGAGCGAACAGAUAAGGAGCUUGCUCCUUUGACGUUAGCGGCGGACGGGUGAGUAACACGUGGGUAACCUACCUAUAAGACUGGGAUAACUUCGGGAAACCGGAGCUAAUACCGGAUAAUAUUUCGAACCGCAUGGUUCGAUAGUGAAAGAUGGUUUUGCUAUCACUUAUAGAUGGACCCGCGCCGUAUUAGUUAGUUGGUAAGGUAACGGCUUACCAAGGCAACGAUACGUAGCCGACCUGAGAGGGUGAUCGGCCAAACUGGAACUGAGACACGGUCCAGACUCCUACGGGAGGCAGCAGUAGGGAAUCUUCCGCAAUGGGCGAAAGCCUGACGGAGCAACGCCGCGUGAGUGAUGAAGGUCUUCGGAUCGUAAAACUCUGUUAUUAGGGAAGAACAUACGUGUAAGUAACUAUGCACGUCUUGACGGUACCUAAUCAGAAAGCCACGGCUAACUACGUGCCAGCAGCCGCGGUAAUACGUAGGUGGCAAGCGUUAUCCGGAAUUAUUGGGCGUAAAGCGCGCGUAGGCGGUUUUUUAAGUCUGAUGUGAAAGCCCACGGCUCAACCGUGGAGGGUCAUUGGAAACUGGAAAACUUGAGUGCAGAAGAGGAAAGUGGAAUUCCAUGUGUAGCGGUGAAAUGCGCAGAGAUAUGGAGGAACACCAGUGGCGAAGGCGACUUUCUGGUCUGUAACUGACGCUGAUGUGCGAAAGCGUGGGGAUCAAACAGGAUUAGAUACCCUGGUAGUCCACGCCGUAAACGAUGAGUGCUAAGUGUUAGGGGGUUUCCGCCCCUUAGUGCUGCAGCUAACGCAUUAAGCACUCCGCCUGGGGAGUACGACCGCAAGGUUGAAACUCAAAGGAAUUGACGGGGACCCGCACAAGCGGUGGAGCAUGUGGUUUAAUUCGAAGCAACGCGAAGAACCUUACCAAAUCUUGACAUCCUUUGACCGCUCUAGAGAUAGAGUUUUCCCCUUCGGGGGACAAAGUGACAGGUGGUGCAUGGUUGUCGUCAGCUCGUGUCGUGAGAUGUUGGGUUAAGUCCCGCAACGAGCGCAACCCUUAAACUUAGUUGCCAGCAUUGAGUUGGGCACUCUAAGUUGACUGCCGGUGACAAACCGGAGGAAGGUGGGGAUGACGUCAAAUCAUCAUGCCCCUUAUGAUUUGGGCUACACACGUGCUACAAUGGACAAUACAAAGGGCAGCGAAACCGCGAGGUCAAGCAAAUCCCAUAAAGUUGUUCUCAGUUCGGAUUGUAGUCUGCAACUCGACUACAUGAAGCUGGAAUCGCUAGUAAUCGUAGAUCAGCAUGCUACGGUGAAUACGUUCCCGGGUCU
rnacentral:rRNA from 1 species